UUGAACGCUGGCGGCAUGCCUUACACAUGCAAGUCGAACGGUAGAGGGGCAACCCUUGAGAGUGGCGAACGGGUGAGUAAUAUAUCGGAACGUGCCCAGUCGUGGGGGAUAACGCAGCGAAAGCUGCGCUAAUACCGCAUACGAUCUAUGGAUGAAAGCGGGGGAUCGCAAAGACCUCGCGCGAUUGGAGCGGCCGAUAUCAGAUUAGGUAGUUGGUGGGGUAAAAGCCCACCA
rnacentral:rRNA from 1 species